UCCUAGGGAUUUGCAGAGGCUUAGAAGCCCUGAAGAUGAGACUAGGCGUGCAAGCUCUUAUCAUUCAUAUUCUCAAAGUCCUCCUUAUGACUUCCAGUAUGAAGAUCGACGUUAUGGAAAGCAAGCUGCUGUUCUGACACGUAAACCUGGUUCAGAUCGAGGCCUUUAUGUUCGGGAAGAUGUCUAGUUUUAUUUGCAGUCCUACUCGCUUAAAUGAAAGAAUGUUUGAGGACAGUUUUGCAAAUGAGGGCUCUGUGUCCAGGGUUUCAGACUAUUCUGUAUCUAGUAGGGGUGAUCCGAUCGGUAGAGAGUUGCCAAAUUUUCAGACUAUUCAGACUCCAAGGGAUAAUUCAGGUGAAAAUGGACAUCAUCAAAGAAUAGAUCAAUUUUCAGAGGAAAACUUUAAGAGAGAUGCAGAUGGGUUUCCACGUCGACAGAG
rnacentral:misc_RNA from 1 species